AUUGAACGCUGGCGGCAGGCCUAACACAUGCAAGUCGAGCGAGCGGCGGACGGGUGAGUAAUGUAUGGGGACUGCCCGAUCUAGGGGGAUAACUACUGGAAACGGUGGCUAAUACCGCAUACUAUCGGAUAACCCAUUGUGAAUUAGCUAGUAGGGGGGGAAAAGGCUCACCUAGGCGACGCUCGUUAGCUGGUCUGAGAGGAUGAUCAGCCACACUGGGACUGAGACACGGCCCAGACUCCUACGGAGGCAGCAGUGGGGAAUAUUGCACAAUGGGCGAAAGCCUGAUGCAGCCAUGCCGCGUGUAUGAAGAAGGCCUUAGGGUUGUAAAGUACUUUCAGCGGGGAGGCGUUACCCGCAGAAGAAGCACCGGCUAACUCCGUGCCAGCAGCCGCGGUAAUUC
rnacentral:rRNA from 1 species